rnacentral:ribozyme from 1 species
AAACUACCUCAAGGCCAUAGCAGAAGCACUCAUGGCACAGCCUGUCAGAUUCCUAUGAAUCUGCAAAUUCUGCC